rnacentral:piRNA from 1 species
UCCAGGAAUUCGUCUUUCCACAGACCUAUGC